rnacentral:rRNA from 1 species
ACUGAACGCUGGCGGCAGGCCUAACACAUGCAAGUCGAGCGGAUGAGAGGAGCUUGCUCCUCGAUUCAGCGGCGGACGGGUGAGUAAUGCCUAGGAAUCUGCCUAGUAGUGGGGGACAACGUUUCGAAAGGAACGCUAAUACCGCAUACGUCCUACGGGAGAAAGUGGGGGAUCUUCGGACCUCACGCUAUUAGAUGAGCCUAGGUCGGAUUAGCUAGUUGGUAGGGUAACGGCCUACCAAGGCGACGAUCCGUAACUGGUCUGAGAGGAUGAUCAGUCACACUGGAACUGAGACACGGUCCAGACUCCAACGGGAGGCAGCAGUGGGGAAUAUUGGACAAUGGGCGAAAGCCUGAUCCAGCCAUGCCGCGUGUGUGAAGAAGGCCCUCGGGUCGUAAAGCACUUUAAGUUGGGAGGAAGGGCUUACAGCGAAUACCUGUGAGUUUUGACGUUACCGACAGAAUAAGCACCGGCUAACUUCGUGCCAGCAGCCGCCGUAA